CGGUGGACUGAGCGGCGGACGGGUGAGUAACGCGUGGGUAACCUGCCUCAUACAGGGGAUAACAGUUGGAAACGGCUGCUAAUACCGCAUAAGCGCACAGUACCGCAUGGUACGGUGUGAAAAACUCCGGUGGUAUGAGAUGGACCCGCGUCUGAUUAGGUAGUUGGUGGGGUAACGGCCUACCUAGUCUUCGAUGGAUAGGGGUUCUGAGAGGAAGGUCCCCCACAUUGGAACUGAGACACGGUCCAA
rnacentral:rRNA from 1 species